UUACUGUGAUCACUCAGUCCAGAGAUGUAUAUGUGACAUGGGUUAGUCCACCACUCCUAUGAGUCCCAGCAGACAUCUCCAAAAGAAAUCACCAGUCUGAAGUCCAGAAACAAGGAUCACAAAGUUAAUCAGGGGAGAUGCUCUGCUUAACAGAGUGAAUGAACUUUUAGCCUUCAGCCUUCCCAUUUGCUUUUCUGGGGAUAAAUUCAGACAAAGAAAGGCAGAUCCCUGACUUUUGUUCUCUUCAAAACAAGAAUUGAGAUACAUGUGUUGGAAGAAUAUUACUGAAGUCACCCAAAGUAAAAUGAAUGGAUAUGUUCCCAUUCCUGUGGAAAAUUUUGGAGGUACCUCACAUAAUUUAUAAUUGAUUUUCCACUAAACUGUUGAAGAAUCAUUUUUGCUUCUGUUGCUAAAG